UGAGUUUAACACUUCAUGACUGAGAGCAGAACACAACACACUCUUCAUCAUCACACAAGACUAAACUACAACUAUGAACAACAUCUGCAUCUUCAUCUGGACCAUUGCACUGUUUAUUCAAGAAUCCAGAGGAGUGACUCUGACUCAACCUGAAGUUAAAACUGUCCAACAGAGUCAAACAGCGACAAUAGAGUGUCGCAUGGAUGUAGGACUAACCUAUGAUGAGUUACACUGGUAUCAGCAGAAACCUGGAGAAGCUCCUAAACUCCUGAUUCAUGACAUAAGACACCGUUAUACUGGAACUCACUCUAGAUUCAGUGGCAGUGGAUCUAACUAUGGCAGUGAUUUUACUCUGACCAUCAGUGGAGUCCAGACUGAAGAUACAGGAGAUUAUUACUGUCAGAGUUUUCAUGUAAUCAACAGUCAGUGGGUGUUCACACAGUGAUAAAGAGUCGUACAAAAACCUCUGUCAGUCAGACGUCACAGUGACUGCACUGAUACAGCUGAGAGAAACUGCAGCUGCUGAUGGAGGAGCACAAACUACACAAUAUCAAUGUUUAGCAAAC